rnacentral:rRNA from 1 species
UGGGUUCAGAACGUCGUGAGACAGUUCGGUCUCCUAUCCGCUACGGGCGUAGAAUUUUGAAGGGAUUCGUCUCUAGUACGAGAGGACCGAGAUGGAUAAACCUCUAGUGUACCAGUUGUCUUACCAAAGGCAUAGCUGGGUAGCUACGUUUAGUGCGGAUAAGCGCUGAAAGCAUAUAAGCGCGAAGCCGUCCCUAAGAUUAGAAUUCGUUAUAGGCUCCUGGGAGACUACCAGGUUGAUAGGCCCUAUGUGUAAUGACAGUAAUGUCUUUAGCAGAGGGGUACUAAUAAGCCAAAGC